rnacentral:tRNA from 1 species
GGGAAGGUGGCUCAAUGGUAGAGCGCUUGCCUUGCAAUGCGUGAGGCCCUGGGUUCGAUUCCCCAGCCCCA